UACGGAGGGUGCGAGCGUUGUCCGGAAUCACUGGGCGUAAAGGGUGCGUAGGUGGCGUCGCAAGUCAACGGUGAAAGCUCGACGCUCAACGUCGAGUCGGCCGUCGAGACUGCGAGGCUUGAGCACUGUAGAGGCAGAUGGAAUUCCGGGUGUAGCGGUGGAAUGCGUAGAGAUCCGGAAGAACACCGGUGGCGAAGGCGGUCUGCUGGGCAGUUGCUGACACUGAGGCGCGACAGCGUGGGGAGCAAACAGG
rnacentral:rRNA from 1 species